rnacentral:lncRNA from 1 species
CAGAUGCAGUUCAGGUUCAGUGUUGCCAUGGCUGUGGCAUAGGCUGGUGGCUGCAGCUCUGAUUCAACCUAAGACCUGGGAACUUCAAUAUGCCACAGGCGAGGCUAUAAAAAGAAAAACAAAACAAAAAAACAGAUCCCAGAACCUUACCCCAAACCUAUCAAGUCAGAAUCUCCAGAUGAAGAACCAGGGAAUCUUUAUUUAAGACUCCUCGAGGGAAUCUUAAGCAGCACUCCAAAGAUGGCUACUGGGGACUCAUCUUCUCAGAAACCAUCAAAAAGGCAACUGCCUAAAGACCACUGACUUUGAGGAGGGGAGGGAGAGGAUUUUUUUUUUUUCUUUUUAGGGCUGCACCCAUGGCAUAUAGAGGUUCCCAGGCUAGGGGUCCAAUCGGAGCUACAGCUGCCGGCCUACACCACAGCCACAGCAACAUCAGAUCUGAGCCGUGUUUGCAACCUACACCACAGCUCACGGCAAUGCUGGAUCCUUAACCCACUGAGCAAAGCCUGAAUUGAACCUGCCAACUCAUGGUUCCUAGUCGGAUUCAUUUCCACUGCACCACGAUGGGAACCCUGAGGAGGGGAAAGAGAAGGAAUUGAAGGAAAAGAAAAUAGAGCCAGGAGUUGAGCAGAGGAGAAGGGGAAGAGGCUUAGAAACCAGACACCUGUGAUGAAAUAAAAGACUCCAUCACGAAACACCUGCACUGAAAGGCGCACUGGGUGGACUGAGCCCCUGCCCAGACUCUGUGGCAGUUAGUGCUGGGAGCCCUGUGCUUGGGGACUUUUUUUUUUUUUUUUUUUAAAGGAGCAGCUGGUGGUUUCUAUGGAGACAAUUUCAACUUUGAACAAUAGCCUGUGGUAUUUUGAAGGAUCUAAAUUAGUGAGCAACAGGCAUGUGUCCAGUGCUUCUAGCUGGAUUAGUAAGCCAUCCCGCUCAAGAAUUCUUCCUCCAGCUGAACUGGGGGUGAGUCAGAGCGGUCAAAGCCAAGUAGAAGAGGUCUGCUUUCUGAUUUCAGCAGCAAGACACCUGUGGCCCCCUUUCAACAGUGAAGAACUGCACAUCAAGCCUCUCUUCUGCCUGUGCAUUGCCAGGGCCAGUUUAUUUUCUUUGGAAUCUUUUCUGCGCACAAAUCUAAACCCUAAAGCCUUUGUUUUGCCUUCUCUAUAAAAUAAAAUCAGGGAUCCCCUAGAGAAUCA